GGUAUCAGAAGUGCGAAUGCUGACAUAAGUAACGAUAAAGCGGGUGAAAAGCCCGCUCGCCGGAAGACCAAGGGUUCCUGUCCAACGUUAAUCGGGGCAGGGUGAGUCGACCCCUAAGGCGAGGCCGAAAGGCGUAGUCGAUGGGAAACAGGUUAAUAUUCCUGUACUUGGUGUUACUGCGAAGGGGGGACGGAGAAGGCUAUGUUGGCCGGGCGACGGUUGUCCCGGUUUAAGCGUGUAGGCUGGUUUUCCAGGCAAAUCCGGAAAACCAAGGCUGAGGCGUGAUGACGAGGCACUACGGUGCUGAAGUGACAAAUGCCCUGCUUCCAGGAAAAGCCUCUAAGCAUCAGGUAACAUCAAAUCGUACCCCAAACCGACACAGGUGGUCAGGUAGAGAAUACCAAGGCGCUUGAGAGAACUCGGGUGAAGGAACUAGGCAAAAUGGUGCCGUAACUUCGGGAGAAGGCACGCUGAUAUGUAGGUGAAGCGACUUGCUCGUGGAGCUGAAAUCAGUCGAAGAUACCAGCUGGCUGCAACUGUUUAUUAAAAACACAGCACUGUGCAAACACGAAAGUGGACGUAUACGGUGUGACGCCUGCCCGGUGCCGGAAGGUUAAUUGAUGGGGUUAGCGGUAACGCGAAGCUCUUGAUCGAAGCCCCGGUAAACGGCGGCCGUAACUAUAACGGUCCUAAGGUAGCGAAAUUCCUUGUCGGGUAAGUUCCGACCUGCACGAAUGGCGUAAUGAUGGCCAGGCUGUCUCCACCCGAGACUCAGUGAAAUUGAACUCGCUGUGAAGAUGCAGUGUACCCGCGGCAAGACGGAAAGACCCCGUGAACCUUUACUAUAGCUUGACACUGAACAUUGAGCCUUGAUGUGUAGGAUAGGUGGGAGGCUUUGAAGUGUGGACGCCAGUCUGCAUGGAGCCGACCUUGAAAUACCACCCUUUAAUGUUUGAUGUUCUAACGUUGGCCCCUAAUCGGGGUUGCGGACAGUGUCUGGUGGGUAGUUUGACUGGGGCGGUCUCCUCCUAAAGAGUAACGGAGGAGCACGAAGGUUGGCUAAUCCUGGUCGGACAUCAGGAGGUUAGUGCAAUGGCAUAAGCCAGCUUGACUGCGAGCGUGACGGCGCGAGCAGGUGCGAAAGCAGGUCAUAGUGAUCCGGUGGUUCUGAAUGGAAGGGCCAUCGCUCAACGGAUAAAAGGUACUCCGGGGAUAACAGGCUGAUACCGCCCAAGAGUUCAUAUCGACGGCGGUGUUUGGCACCUCGAUGUCGGCUCAUCACAUCCUGGGGCUGAAGUAGGUCCCAAGGGUAUGGCUGUUCGCCAUUUAAAGUGGUACGCGAGCUGGGUUUAGAACGUCGUGAGACAGUUCGGUCCCUAUCUGCCGUGGGCGCUGGAGAACUGAGGGGGGCUGCUCCUAGUACGAGAGGACCGGAGUGGACGCAUCACUGGUGUUCGGGUUGUCAUGCCAAUGGCACUGCCCGGUAGCUAAAUGCGGAAGAGAUAAGUGCUGAAAGCAUCUAAGCACGAAACUUGCCCCGAGAUGAGUUCUCCCUGAGACUUAGAGUCUCCUGAAGGAACGUUGAAGACGACGACGUUGAUAGGCCGGGUGUGUAAGCGCAGCGAUGCGUUGAGCUAACCGGUACUAAUGAACCGUGAGGCUUAACCUUACAACGCCGAAG
rnacentral:rRNA from 1 species